rnacentral:rRNA from 1 species
UGGGCGCAAGCCUGAUCCAGCAAUGCCGCGUGCAGGAUGAAGGCCUUCGGGUUGUAAACUGCUUUUGUACGGAACGAAAAGCCCUGGGUUAAUACCCUGGGGUCAUGACGGUACCGUAAGAAUAAGCACCGGCUAACUACGUGCCAGCAGCCGCGGUAAUACGUAGGGUGCAAGCGUUAAUCGGAAUUACUGGGCGUAAAGCGUGCGCAGGCGGUUUUGUAAGACAGAGGUGAAAUCCCCGGGCUCAACCUGGGAACUGCCUUUGUGACUGCAAGGCUAGAGUACGGCAGAGGGGGAUGGAAUUCCGCGUGUAGCAGUGAAAUGCGUAGAUAUGCGGAGGAACACCGAUGGCGAAGGCAAUCCCCUGGGCCUGUACUGACGCUCAUGCACGAAAGCGUGGGGAGCAAACAGGAUUAGAUACCCUGGUAGUCCACGCCCUAAACGAUGUCAACUGGUUGUUGGGUCUUAACUGACUCAGUAACGAAGCUAACGCGUGAAGUUGACCGCCUG